CUUAACACAUGCAAGUCGACUCGAGUCUUCGGACUUGGGUGGCGCACGGGUGAGUAACGCGUAAAGAACUUGCCUCUUAGACCGGGACAACAUCUGGAAACGGAUGCUAAUACCGGAUAUUAUGGUUUUUUCGCAUGGAGGAAUCAUGAAAGCUGGAUGCGCUAAGAGAGAGCUUUGCGUCCCAUUAGCUAGUUGGUGAGGUAACGGCCCACCAAGGCAAUGAUGGGUAGCCGGCCUGAGAGGGUGAACGGCCACAAGGGGACUGAGACACGGCCCUUACUCCUACGGGAGGCAGCAGUGGGGAAUAUUGGACAAUGGACCGCAAGUCUGAUCCAGCAAUUCUGUGUGCACGAUGACGUUUUUCGGAAUGUAAAGUGCUUUCAGUCGGGAAGAAGUCAGUGACGGUACCGACAGAAGAAGCGACGGCUAAAUACGUGCCAGCAGCCGCGGUAAUACGUAUGUCGCAAGCGUUAUCCGGAUUUAUUGGGCGUAAAGCGCGUCUAGGCGGCAAGGAAAGUCUGAUGUGAAAAUGCGGAGCUCAACUCCGUAUGGCGUUGGAAACUGCCUUACUAGAGUACUGGAGAGGUAGGCGGAACUACAAGUGUAGAGGUGAAAUUCGUAGAUAUUUGUAGGAAUGCCGAUGGGGAAGCCAGCCUACUGGACAGAUACUGACGCUAAAGCGCGAAAGCGUGGGUAGCAAACAGG
rnacentral:rRNA from 1 species